UACGUAGGGACCAAGCGUUGUUCGGAUUUACUGGGCGUAAAGGGCGCGUAGGCGGCGUGACAAGUCACUUGUGAAAUCUCCGGGCUUAACCCGGAACGGCCAAGUGAUACUGUCGUGCUAGAGUGCAGAAGGGGCAAUCGGAAUUCUUGGUGUAGCGGUGAAAUGCGUAGAUAUCAAGAGGAACACCUGAGGUGAAGACGGGUUGCUGGGCUGACACUGACGCUGACAGCGCGAAAGCUAGGGGAGCAAACGGG
rnacentral:rRNA from 2 species